CACGGCCCAACUUGGCUGAAGCUGUAAGCCAAGGGAAGGACUAGAGGUUAGAGGAGACCCCGUGCCAAAA
rfam:West Nile virus RNA, complete genome.